AUUAGAUACCCUGGGUAGUCCACGCAGUAAACGAUGAAUGUCAGCUGUCCGGGACUUCGGUCCUGGGUGGCACAGCGAAAGCGUUAAACAUUCCACCUGGGGAGUACGCCGGCAACGGUGAAACUCAAAGGAAUUGACGGGGGCCCGCACAAGCGGAGGAACAUGUGGUUUAAUUCGAUGAUACGCGAGGAACCUUACCCGGGCUCAAACGUGACUGGAAUGUCCGCGAAAGCGGGCAGCCCUUCGGGGCCGGUUACGAGGUGCUGCAUGGUUGUCGUCAGCUCGUGCCGUGAGGUGUCGGCUUAAGUGCCAUAACGAGCGCAACCCCUACCGACAGUUGCCAACAAGCGAAGUUGAGGACUCUGUCGGGACUGCCGGCGCAAGCUGCGAGGAAGGCGGGGAUGACGUCAAAUCAGCACGGCCCUUACGUCCGGGGCGACACACGUGUUACAAUGGCGGGUACAGCGGGAGGCCAUGCGGCGACGCAGAGCGGAACCCGAAAACCCGUCUCAGUUCGGAUUGGAGUCUGCAACCCGACUCCAUGAAGCUGGAUUCGCUAGUAAUCGCGCAUCAGCCACGGCGCGGUGAAUACGUUCCCGGGCCUUGUACACACCGCCCGUCAAGCCAUGGGAGUCGGGAGUGCCUGAAGUACGUGACCGCAAGGAGCGUCCUAAGGCAAAACUGAUGACUGGGGCUAAGUCGUAACAAGGUACC
rnacentral:rRNA from 1 species